UACUUACUCUCCAUAUAUGUCAUUUAACAACCAGUGUAGGGGAAUAAUGUUUACUGUGGUUCUCUUUUGCAGCUAGAGUAACGUAGUGUGCGGGUC
rnacentral:pre_miRNA from 1 species